UAUGAUUUCAGUGCUGAAUUGAAUGAACAAC
rnacentral:piRNA from 1 species